GUCUAAAUUUUUUUUUGAAAACCUGACCCCAGAGUAUGCCAGAUCCGCCACAAAUACAGGGAUUCCACUGUUCACACGGACAGAGUCUCCCCUGUAAUUGCACGGCGUCGCACAAGUACAACAGUACAAACAGGAUACAACCACAACUAAAUGAAUAUAGAAAUAACUAUACAUUCAUACAUUCAUACAUUCACCAUUCACAUCACAGAUUUGUAUUUAAUAUUUAAACAUAAAUCCACAGAAAAUUCUUUUGAAAACUGUUUCCCACACGGAAAUCUUUAUUCUUUAAAAACGCUACCACGAGGGGUAGAAAACCUUUCCAUUUCACAAAAUCCACAAAUCCAUUUAUUACAUUCAUGAAAAUCCAUAUUUUCAAAUAUAAUAAAAUAUACAGAACCAUAUAAACUAUCUAAGCUAUAUCAACAUAAUAGUACGUGUAGAACUAAACAGAAUAACCUGGGUCGGAAGCUCUAUCGACCGCUACGUAUCUCACGUCUUGUCUCAACCCUCACCGCCCGCGAUACCUGAAAAAUAGUGGGGGAGGUGAGAAUAUGUAAACAUGUCUUCCCUCCCAGUGGGUACCGCAAGCCGAAGAAGGCGAGGAGUACUCACCAGAUCAGGAAGAGAUAAACAACAGUAUGGGUAAGUAAAAUACAGUAGCAAUGAUAAUGAAUGAAUGAGAUAU
rnacentral:lncRNA from 1 species